UUUUAAAUGAUUUGAGAUGGCCUCUCGCCCUAUUCAGUGUAACAGCUGUGGUAGUGGGUUUGGUCGCUCGCAUUUAAAUUGGAAGGGUAAUGGUGGACCGCACUUCUCCCUUAGUAGGACGUUGCGACCUGUCAAAUAAUAUCCUAAGUAUUUGGCUAAUUUGUCUGUUUUUAGGCAGUACUGAAAGGUAUUUCCUUUAACAGUUUUAGCCGUUUACAUACUGGAUAUAAUUGACAGUAACGAAUCAUGGUGUUGAGCCACUUACUUUGUAAGUGUCCUUUAUGGCUGUUUGCAAGUGGGUUGGUUAAUUAGUUUUAGUCGGAUUUUGGUCCGUCUAACUAUUCCGCCUACUGUUGGUAAACUGUUCCUUGGACAGUGCUUAUAACACCGGUCGGCAGCGAUUCAGGUUCAGGCUCUUAUCCGACCCGUCUUGAAACACGGACCAAGGAGUUUAGCGUGUACGCAAGUCAUUGGGUGUAUAAAACCCAAAGG
rnacentral:rRNA from 1 species